rnacentral:rRNA from 1 species
CAAACUCCGAAUGCCAAUUAAUUUAACUUGGGAGUCAGAACAUGGGUGAUAAGGUCCGUGUUCGAAAGGGAAACAGCCCAGACCACCAGCUAAGGUCCCAAAAUAUAUGUUAAGUGGAAAAGGAUGUGGCGUUGCCCAGACAACUAGGAUGUUGGCUUAGAAGCAGCCAUCAUUUAAAGAGUGCGUAAUAGCUCACUAGUCGAGUGACACUGCGCCGAAAAUGUACCGGGGCUAAACAUAUUACCGAAGCUGUGGAUUGUCCUUUGGACAAUGGUAGGAGAGCGUUCUAAGG